GGGGAAUUUUCCGCAAUGGGCGAAAGCCUGACGGAGCAAGACCGCGUGAGGGAGGAAGGCUCUAGGGUUGUAAACCUCUUUUAUCAGGGAAGAAGCUCUGACGGUACCUGAGGAAUCAGCGUCGGCUAACUCCGUGCCAGCAGCCGCGGUAAUACGGAGGAUGCAAGCGUUAUCCGGAAUCAUUGGGCGUAAAGCGUCCGCAGGUGGGAGCUCAAGUCGAUUGUCAAAGGCAGUAGCUUAACUACUGAAAGGCAGUGGAAACUGAACAACUANAGUGCGGUAGGGGUAGAGGGAAUUCCCGGUGUAGCGGUGAAAUGCGUAGAGAUCGGGAAGAACACCAGUGGCGAAAGCGCACUGCUGGACCGGCACUGACACUGAGGGACGAAAGCUAGGGGAGCGAAUGGGAUUAGAUACCCCAGUAGUCCUAGCCGUAAACGAUGGAUACUAAGUGUGGCAAGUAUCGACCCUUGCCGUGCCGCAGCUAACGCGUUAAGUAUCCCGCCUGGGGAGUACGCACGCAAGUGCGAAACUCAAAGGAAUUGACGGGGGCCCGCACAAGCGGUGGAGUAUGUGGUUUAAUUCGAUGCAACGCGAAGAACCUUACCAGGGCUUGACGUGUCCGGAACCUCUGGGAAACUAGAGGGUGCCUAAGGGAACCGGAACACAGGUGGUGCAUGGCUGUCGUCAGCUCGUGUCGUGAGAUGUUGGGUUAAGUCCCGCAACGAGCGCAACCCUCGUUUUUAGUUGCCAAUAUUAAGUUAGGCACUCUAAAGGGACUGCCGGUGACAAACCGGAGGAAGGUGGGGAUGGCGUCAAGUCAGCAUGCCCCUUACGCCAUGGGCGACACACGUACUACAAUGCUUUAGACAAAGGGCAGCAAGCCGGCGACGGCAAGCGAAUCCCAGAAACUAAGGCAAAGUUCAGAUCGCAGGCUGCAACUCGCCUGCGUGAAGGAGGAAUCGCUAGUAAUCGCAGGUCAGCAUACUGCGGUGAAUACGUUCCCGGGCCUUGUACACACCGGCCCGUCACACCAUGGGAGUUGGCCACGCCCGAAGUCGUUAUCCUAACCCUGGUGGAAGGAGACGCCGAAGGUGGGGCUGAUGACUGGGGUGGAGUCGUAACAAGGUAGCCGUACCGGAAGGUGUGGCUGGAUCACCUCCUUUUAAGGGAGACCUGCUGUGGGAUAAAGGAGUGUGGCUAAAAUAACAGCUGCAAAAAUGAGUUGUAAAACUCAAUUAUUCCUUGGCCUAUCAGACUUCCCAAGGUCGGUUGAAAUUGGAUUUCUGGCUUUCAAACUAUUACGCGGUUCGGUAAAACAACUGCUAAGACAAAAAUAACAGAAUUCCUGAUGUAAUAGGAAGUUAUGAUUGGGUAAAAAUCCCAAAAAUGUGUUAGAGUAAAAAAGUUGGGGAUGAAAAAAAAGCUGAACCAACUGAAAUUAGCAAAACGGUUGGAAAAACGAAUUCAGCAAUCUUGGUAUUCUGGGAAUAGAACCAAGCUUGCUGGAUAUCAAGUCCAGAAAGAACCUUGAAAAUUGCAUAGCAACUGUCAUCAAAUGAUUUCGAUAAGACGUGAAUUAUAGCGUUUUAUCCAAGUCAGGUAGAUCCAAAAAAAAGUGGUCAAGCUACAAAGAGCUGACGGUGGAUACCUAG
rnacentral:sRNA from 1 species